UACGUAGGUGGCAAGCGUUGUCCGGAUUUAUUGGGUUUAAAGGGUGCGUAGGCGGUCCUAUAAGUCAGUGCUGAAAUAUCCCGGCUUAACCGGGAGGGUGGCAUUGAUACUGCAGGACUUGAGUAAAGUUGAGGUUGGCAGAAUUGACGGUGUAGCGGUGAAAUGCUUAGAUAUCGUCAAGAACACCUAUUGCGAAGGCAGCUAACUAAGCUUUAACUGACGCUGAGGCACGAAAGUGUGGGGAUCAAACAGG
rnacentral:rRNA from 1 species